GGCUAUCAAUAAGAAUGGAACUAGAGGAAGGCAGCAUUCAUCUGAGUUAAAAGCCUUGAACUGGAUAAGCUAAAGGUGCAUGGAAAUUGGGCAGUGUAAAGAGUCUCUCCAACGUAUCUUAAAGAGACACUUUGCUCUGGAUGGCUUGCAAGCACAUUAAUAAGAAAUCGUGACAAGUAUUUCGGAAUUCUAAAUGGGAUUGACACUGUGAUUUGGAACCCUGCUACCGAUGUUUUCUUACCUGCUAAGUUUCAUGGUAACAA